GGGUGGACAUGUGCUUGUCUCCGCGCGGCUGCUCUGAACCCGGUGGCCCGCAACCACAGGUCCUGCCCUUCCAGAAGCCCACGUCUGGCUCGGAGACUCCAUACCCACAAAGGGCCCAUGCCCCUCUCCGUAAUGGAGAGCGUGCUGUUGUCGGGGCCCAUCAGGACGCGCUCCUCCUCCUCCUCCCUAGCCAGCUCCUGCUGCUCCAAUCUCUGCAGUUUCUCAUCUGUCCCUCUCCCUCCAGUUUUUAAGAAUUACUUUUUCUGCCAUAUUCAUUAGUCAAAGAGACGGUGCAUUUCUAGUCUGUUCCCGCAAUGCUAAGCAAUGUGAGUUCAGUGUCUGCCCGCGCAUGUGGCACUUAGCUCCAACUGUCCUUUUUCUUCUAAAAUGUGACUCAGCCAGACAGAACACACCCUGCUCAGUACUCUGGAAACCCCGUGCCUGCUCCGCCUGCCCGAGCCAGUCUCCCAGGGAGCUCCGACCUCCCCCAUCCCUGGCCUCCACCCCACGGCUCCUCUCGGCGCUCAUGGGCUGCGCUGUCAGGGCAGGCCACCCCACCGCGAGAGGCUGGCGGUCUGGACAUGGGGGAGACUGCGCCCAUUCUCUGGGUUUGCAUGGCACCGUCGACUGGCAGCCAAGGUGAUCCUGCCCAUAGGUGUCCUCGGGCCUCCACCACGGAGGCACUGUCCUGGCCUCAAGGCUGAACCCAGACUGGCGAUGGACUGGGAGGGGCGCUCGCUGCUUCUGGCCGGUUCCCAACAUCCGAAGCUCCUCUUUAGGCCAGAUGAUUGCUUUCGUCCCCUGGGAAGAGUUUCCUAUAAGCCUCUCAGAAACUCGACUCUACCAUUUUCUUUUAAACUUUGCUCAAGACUCGAGACCGAUUUGUCUUCAUAGAGAGAAGCCUUCCCGAGUUUCCAUGGUGGCCACCCUAGCGUCUGACGGGGUUCUUGCCCCCUCUGCCAUCUGACUCCCGCGUCUGGCUCCCCUCCUUUAGGACUCUCCCGUGUGUGCGGGAACAUGUAUCUGGGGGUGCAGGCAGGUGCAUGAAGUGAAUUGAGACCUUGCUUAUCUGAACACGCCUUAAUCUGAUUUUACACCUGGUUGAUAAUCGGGCUAGAAUUAGAAAUACUGAUCCUUGAGAAUUUUGAAGGCCCCGUUCUUGUGCCCUUUCACACCCGGAAUGGCUGGGUAUUUGGGGAAGCUGGGCUGGGAAGACGGGAGGAAGUGCAAGCUAACAGACACUGGGCGGGCCGUGAAGCGGGUGCUGUGGAGCCUCGGGAAGAAGCUCGGCACCCAGGGCCGCCAGAGGGUGUCAGGCGGGGCUCGCUGCUCGGAAGCAGCUGCUAGGUGAGAGAGAGCAGGUGGCAUUGCCCCGGGGGUGGUGGGUACAGAGAGAAGGGGCCCCAUGAAGCAACAUUGUCAUGGAGCUGUGACUCGUCCUUACCAGUGACUGCAGGGUGACAGCAGGGUGGAGCAGGGAGCUGCAGGAGAGCAGCAGGGACACAGCACCCACAGCACUGGGGCGUCCACCCUGAGGCACUUCUGUGUCAGCUCAGCCCGGGCAGGUGCUGCCCACCAUGUCAGGGCCUGGGGCCUCCAAGUGCUGUCCUGGCUCUCAGCCGAUGCCAUGGUAGAACAGGCACCCCAGUCUCAGACGGCUCCUGUGCACAGGGCGGGAGGGAGCUGCGACGUGUUCAGCAUCUAGGGAGGUCAAGCCUCCAGCAUGCACGGAGGAUUCUGGGAACCCUCUUGGUCCUGGGGUCCAUCUGUAAAAAGACCCAGGUGAAGUCGUGUUGGCUGUCGCCUGGAAGGCUCCCUGCAGCUGUGUGCCACCAAGCUGUGCCUCGGGUCUCUGAGCAUCCCCGGCUGGACCUGGGCCUUCCCUGGCUCUUGUCCUGCUCAUGGCACAGGGGACGGGGCCUGGGCAGCGCCCUCCGAGCCUCUCAGCCAGCCUCCUCACACAUGUGCCUGUCUGCUGUGAUGGCUUAGUCAGCCAGCCAGACAGAGGCCAUCCCUGUCAGGGUCAGCUUCCCAGCAAACAGCCAUCACCCAAUGGAAGGAAACGGCCCACAGGGAGCAAACAGCAGAAACCCAUCAGCCUCCGGGGCUCUUACAAGUGUCUGGUAGCAAGAUGAAGAUUUGACCUCGAAUGGUCGGAAGAGAACGAGAAGCAGGGGCAUGCUUAGCAUUUUCUGACGACACGUACCAGUGUUAUUCAGGCAAGACCUUCGUAUCUGCAAAGAGGAUCCUAUGACUAGAGAUAAAGAGACUCGGUCUAUGGCCAGCGUCUUCCCGGUGUCACAGGCUGGCAGCCACCAGCGUAAAGACCCAGAGGAACAAAAAGAAUCAGAAUGUCGACCACGAUCAGUGUCUCCCCCAGGAGGGAAAGAAAAUAUGUCUUUGUGAUAGGUUGCUCAUUUAACUGUAAUGUCCUAUUCUUAAGCAAUGCAGCCGUGAGAUGGGAGGUGUGGGAAGGGAAGGAAAGGAAGACCACCCGCAGCCCUGACAUCCUCGUACACUUGUUUCUGUUUUACCUCCUGCCACAUUUGAGUCUCAGUUGUGUGCUGUGCACAGGUCUAAGCAGAGCUCGUGUAAUUUUUCCUUUUUAUUUAUUUCUGGAGAGUCUAUUUU